GAUGAAGAACGCAGCGAAAUGCGAUAAGUAAUGUGAAUUGCAGAAUUCAGUGAAUCAUCGAAUCUUUGAACGCACAUUGCGCCCGUCAGUAUUCUGGCGGGCAUGCCUGUUCGAGCGUCAUUACGCCCCUCAAGUCCCCUGUGGACUUGGUGUUGGGGAUCGGCGAGGCUGGUUUUCCAGCACAGCCGUCCCUUAAAUUAAUUGGCGGUCUCGCCGUGGCCCUCCUCUGCGCAGUAGUAAAACACUCGCAACAGGAGCCCGGCGCGGUCCACUGCCGUAAAACCCCCCAACUUUUUAUAGUUGACCUCGAAUCAGGUAGGACUACCCGCUGAACUUAAGCAUAUCAAUAAGCGGGAGGA
rnacentral:misc_RNA from 1 species